GACAGAGGGUGCAAACGUUGUUCGGAAUUACUGGGCGUAAAGCGCGUGUAGGCGGCCCUGCAAGUCGGGUGUGAAAUCCCACGGCUCAACCGUGGAAGUGCACUCGAAACUGCAGGGCUAGAGUCCUGGAGAGGAAGGUGGAAUGCUUGGUGUAGAGGUGAAAUUCGUAGAUAUCAAGCGGAACACCGGUGGCGAAGGCGGCCUUCUGGACAGUGACUGACGCUGAGGAGCGAAAGCGUGGGGAGCGAACAGG
rnacentral:rRNA from 1 species